rnacentral:rRNA from 1 species
AAUAGCCUAACGGCUGAACCAGCAACUUGGAGGAAUGUAUAGCAAUAGCUAGUUGUGUCUUUUGACGCAAUAUCGACUUAGUCGAAUAAAGUUCUGAGUAGAAUUAUGAUAAUGACAUUAUCUACUUAUGUGUCUUGACCAAAUUACGUGCCAGCAGUCGCGGUAAUACGUAGUAGACUAGUGUUAUUCAUCUUUAAUAGGUUUAAAGGGUACCUAGACGGCAAAUAAAGCUUUAGUUAGGACUAAUUUGCUAGAGUUUCUUAUGAGGGAGUAUUAAAGUACUAAUGGUGUAGAGAUACAAUUUUGUAAUACCUUUUUUCGAAAGAAAAGUAACGGCACAGAUAGAGGUGAAAGCAUCUUCUUAUGUGAUAACUGACGUUGAGGGACGAAGGCUUUGUGUAGCGAACAGGAUUAGAGACCCUGGUAGUCAAAGCAGAAAAUGAUGAGUGUCAUAGAUUAGAUCUUUAUUUAUUCUAUAAAUGAAAGUGUAAGCACUCCACCUCAAGAGUAAUUUGGCAACAUUGGAACUGAAAUCAUUAGACCGUUUCUGAAACCAGUAGUGAAGUAUGUUGUUUAAUUUGAUAACCCGCAAAAAACCUUACCACAACUUGAAUGCCUCUUUGGAGGAUACAAGCGUUGCACGGCUGUCUUCAGUUAAUGUCGUGAGACUAUGGUUAGCUCCAUUUAAUUAACGUAAACCCUUGCUUUAUUUUUAUAUAAAGUAGUUCUCCGCUAUAUUGGAUAAGAUAACAGGGACUAAGACAAGUCAUCAUGGCCUUAAUGUUGU